GGCCUCUCAGGGUCACACCUGGAGAGUUUUCAGUACUCUACCAAUCUUGACUAUGGGAGGGAGAGUCAAGCAGAGGCAUAUCCAUUCCAAUCCUAGCUUAGGCAGUGACUAGCCAGUGGAAGGCAAUCUGCUACAAAU
rnacentral:snoRNA from 1 species